rnacentral:lncRNA from 1 species
UCGGGUGUAGGGUAGGCUGGACAAAGAAAAAAAUUUGGUUUAAAGUGUGGCAUUGGGAAGGGUAAAUAAUGGUAGGGAGGGAAACUUAAUGAUCAGGAAACACAAAGAAUGAAUAAACAAAAAUUCCAACACUUCACUUUUUUUUUCGAAUUUUUUUUUACUUCGUACUCUUUUUUUUAUUCUCAAUUUUUUUCGUAAUUUCCUUUUUUUUCAAUUACAAUAGAUGAAAUACAAAGUGAAAAAAAAUUACAACUUGAUUUUUUUUGAUUUUUUUCACAUUACGAAC